AAAGUCGUAACAAGGUUUCCGUAGGUGAACCUGCGGGAGGAUCAUUAUGAAUAAGUAGUUCGCUACUUUGCUGGGGGAGAUGGGAAAGUCCUGGCUGAAAAGCCAGUGCACCGGUACCUGCACCCCUAUCAUACCCUUGUCUUUUGAGUACUUAUGUUUCCUUGGUAGGCUUGCUUACCAGUUGGACAAUUUACAAACCUUUAUUUUAUAAGUCAGCGUCUGAAUAAAUUAAUAAUUACAACUUUCAACAACGGAUCUCUUGGUUCUG
rnacentral:misc_RNA from 1 species